rnacentral:rRNA from 1 species
UACGGGGGGUGCGAGCGUUGUCCGGAAUCACUGGGCGUAAAGGGCGCGUAGGUGGCGUGAUAAGGGUGUGGUGAAAGCCCGGGGCUCAACCCCGGGUCUGCCAUGCCGACUGUCAGGCUAGAGUACUGUAGGGGCAGGCGGAAUUCCGGGUGUGGCGGUGGAAUGCGUAGAGAUCCGGAGGAAGACCGGUGGCGAAGGCGGCCUGCUGGGCAGUUACUGACACUGAGGCGCGACAGCGUGGGGAGCAAACAGG